rnacentral:tRNA from 1 species
AAGCAAUUAAUUCAAUAUUUGGUAGAAUAUUUCAUUUACACUGAAAAAGUUAAUGGUUCGAGUCCAUUAUUGCUUA